CGUGAUUUAGAUUCUGGGAUGGUGGAAAAACAAAAUAGCAAAAAUGGCAAAAGAGAUAAACAGCACAAAAAUGAACGAAAUAGAUAAUUUAUAUCAAUAUAGUAAUGUCAUUAUCUAUAAAAAAAUAAAACAAAAAGAGUGCAACUAAUAAGACUUGAUCCAGUGGUAAAAGGAAAACCAGCGUGGAAGACGUGGGUUCAAAUCCCCCACUGCACUUAUGUGCAAGUUGAAUCAUUAACACUUUACUGGAUAUGACGAUAAAAGGGGGAUGAAUGGAUUAUAAGUCGACAAUCAAAGGGCAGUUAUGAUUCUCCCAUUAGACCCUAAAAGAUUUUCCAUCCGUCAUAGCCCAAGUAUCACACGUCUUUAAAGAUCAAUAGUAUUCAUCUUCUAGGAAACAGCAAUAGAAAUCAGAUUAUUAUUCAACAAAAUUUUAUGUUUUUUUCUUUGCAUCAAAUUUCUAGAAACUAUGUAAAUUUAUUCCCUUUGAUUCAAGUAUCUUAUAUCACCAUUGAAAACCCACAUAAUUCACAAAGAUAGCUAAAAUUUAUCCCCAAGAUACACAAUUCAUCGAAAAUCAACAUUGCCCGUUAAAUUCAUAAAGCUAAAGCAUGCAUAUAUAAAAUAAUUAAACAUAAAGAACAAAGCAAACCUAGAUGCCAAAAAUCUGAAAUAUUAAAAAAAUAAAACCUUCGAGUAAGAACCCAUACCAUAGAUCUUGCCCAAUUGCAGCAGCUUUGUCACUUGGUUAAAACAUUAAAAAUUGCAAUAGCUUAU
rnacentral:lncRNA from 1 species